GAUGCUGCCAUGGGCUCCAGGCUCCUCUGCUGUGUGACUCUCUGCUUCCUGGGAGCAGGCCUGGUCGAUUCUGGAGUCACCCAGACCCCCAAAUACCUGAUCAAAUCAAGAAAGCAGAACGCGACUCUGAGAUGUUCCCCUGAUUCUGGACACCGCUCUGUGUACUGGUACCAACAGGCUCUGGGCCAGGACCCCCAGUUCCUCAUUCAGUAUUACAACAGGGAAGUGAUACAAAAAGGGGACAUAUCAGAUCAAUUCUCAGGAAAGCAGUUCAAUGACUUUCACUCUGAGCUGAACUUGAGCUCCUUGGAGCUGAUGGACUCAGCCGUGUAUCUCUGUGCCAGCAGCCAAGACACAGCCCUACAUGAUCAGGUGCCUCUGGGACAAAAACGCUCCUGCCCCAGCUCAGGAAGUGUGACCACAGGGCCCUCCGUCUGCCCGGGCCCCGCCAUGAGCCCCUGCCUCCUGGGCUGUGUGGUCUCUGUCUCCUGCAGGCAGGGAUGGUCCACGCUGGUGUCACCCAGGACCCCAGAUUCUAGGUCGUGA